AGAGUUUGAUCCUGGCUCAGGAUGAACGCUAGCUGCAGGCUUAACACAUGCAAGUCGAGGGGCAGCAUGUUGGUUGCUUGCAACCAAUGAUGGCGACCGGCGCACGGGUGAGUAACGCGUAUCCAACCUCCCCUUGUCCAUCGGAUAACCCGUCGAAAGGCGGCCUAACACGAUAUGCGGUUCUCAGCAGGCAUCUAACGAGAACGAAAUGUGAAGGAGAAGGAUGGGGAUGCGUCUGAUUAGCUUGUUGGCGGGGUAACGGCCACCAAGGCGACGAUCAGUAGGGGUUCUGAGAGGAAGGUCCCCCACAUUGGAACUGAGACACGGUCCAAACUCCUACGGGAGGCA
rnacentral:rRNA from 1 species